AUGGAAGACAGUGAAAUGACCUCUGACCUGAUGGACGAGGGAAAGGAGCUGAACCGCCAGGAAAGUCAUCUGCUGGGAGAAGAAACAACAGUGAAACGGGAAGUACAAAGAAGCUGCUCAUCACUGGAUAUUCUGCUUAAGAUUGAAGAUUGAACAUCUGCCUCCCAGCAGCUCCAACCACAUCAUCAGGUUCGCUCAUCAGCAACGACGACGAGUCGGCGUACAGAGAUGAGGUUGAGCAGCUGGCGUUCUGGUGCAGCGAGACCACCAACACC